ensembl:snRNA U6 U6 spliceosomal RNA
GUGCUAGACACUUCAAUAGCACGUACACUAAAACCUGAAUGAUACAGAGAUUAGCAUGGCCCCUGCACAAGGAUGACACACAAAUUCAGAGAAGUGUUCCAUAUUUCU